rnacentral:rRNA from 1 species
UACGUAGGGAGCAAGCGUUGUCCGGAUUUAUUGGGCGUAAAGAGCUCGUAGGCGGCUUAGCAAGUCGGGUGUGAAAACUCCAGGCUCAACCUGGAGACGCCACUCGAUACUGCUAUGGCUUGAGUUCGGUAGGGGACCAUGGAAUUCCUGGUGUAGCGGUGAAAUGCGUAGAGAUCAGGAAGAACACCGGUGGCGAAGGCGCUCUGCUAGGCCGCAACUGACACUGAGGGACGAAAGCUAGGGGAGCGAAUGGG